rnacentral:rRNA from 1 species
GGGCCCGCACAAGCAGCGGAGCAUGUGGUUUAAUUCGAAGCAACGCGAAGAACCUUACCUAGACUUGACAUCUCCUGAAUUACUCGUAAUGGAGGAAGCCCUUCGGGGCAGGAAGACAGGUGGUGCAUGGUUGUCGUCAGCUCGUGUCGUGAGAUGUUAGGUUAAGUCCUGCAACGAGCGCAACCCUUAUCAUUAGUUGCUACCAUUAAGUUGAGCACUCUAGUGAGACUGCCGUGGUUAACGCGGAGGAAGGUGGGGAUGACGUCAAAUCAUCAUGCCCCUUAUGUCUAGGGCUACACACGUGCUACAAUGGGUAAUACAAAGAGAUGCAAUACAGUGAUGUGGAGCAAAAACUAUAAAAUUACC